rnacentral:rRNA from 1 species
GGGGAGAGAAACGUAACAAGGUUUCCGUAGGUGAACCUGCGGAAGGAUCAUUG